GACGAACGCUGGCGGCGUGCUUAACACAUGCAAGUCGGACGGAAAGGCCCUGCUUGCAGGGUACUCGAGUGGCGAACGGGUGAGUAACACGUGGGUGAUCUGCCCUGCACUUCGGGAUAAGCCUGGGAAACUGGGUCUAAUACCGGAUAGGAGCCAUUUUUAGUGUGAUGGUUGGAAAGUUUUUUCGGUGUAGGAUGAGCUCGCGGCCUAUCAGCUUGUUGGUGGGGUAAUGGCCUACCAAGGCGGCGACGGGUAGCCGGCCUGAGAGGGUGGACGGCCACAUUGGGACUGAGAUACGGCCCAGACUCCUACGGGAGGCAGCAGUGGGGAAUAUUGCACAAUGGGCGCAAGCCUGAUGCAGCGACGCCGCGUGGGGGAUGACGGCCUUCGGGUUGUAAACUCCUUUCGCUAGGGACGAAGCUUUUUGUGACGGUACCUAGAGAAGAAGCACCGGCUAACUACGUG
rnacentral:rRNA from 1 species